CAGGUAACCUGGCAAGAACUGUACAGAGCAUGGAUCCUGGACCAGAUUUUCAUCCUGGAAGUGGCUAGUGUGAACUGAAUUUAUUGGUGCCUCAGUACAGAGGAUGUAUUAUAGGCCCUGCUAACGUUCCAUCUACCUUCUGGAAAGUGCUUGGGAGCUACAAACAGAAGUACUAUAAUGAACAACAUUGUGUUCCAAUUCCUUCUUAAAUCCAUGCUUUCUGACAUAUUCUUGCAAUGAAUUCCAAAGGUGUUCUUAAGGUGUUCAGUCU
rnacentral:lncRNA from 1 species